rnacentral:miRNA from 1 species
UGAACCGGACACGACGCUCGCU